CCUUUUAGUCCAAGGCGCUGACAGCCAGGCCUGCCCUACUAGCUCCUUCUGUUGUUUCGAGGGGAGUGAGGCCUGGGGCUGAGUUAAGUUUCGCUGACCACUGCGUACCAUACCUGGAGGUUGUGAGAAUUAACCUGUAUUGAAAGUGAGUGCCCAGCACCAGGAUGGGGACGUCUGUAAUAAACAUGGCAAAAUCUGAAAAGCAGCUACAUCUCCAGUUUAUGCUCUCACCAAGGUGAUCACCACUUUCUCCAAACUGUUACCCCCACCUGGGUGGGGCACCUAGCCGAGGCCCUCAAAUGACUUGGCUCAACCAAGUCCACACCCACCCACCCAUGCUGGGACCAAAAGGUAUCAUUUACCACCACCUUACAGAGGAGGAAGCAAAACUCAGCUGAGUCCAAGCAACAAGUCCAAAAAUGACAGAGCCAGCCAGCGCAGCAAGACAGGGUGACCCCACAAUCUCAUGAGGGGAUGCUGGGAAGCAUUACUGUGCCUUCCUAGGGGACAAGUCAACUGGAACCAGCAGGAUAUAUCUUAUAUUUAAAGAUGUGCAGUUAGGCCGGGCAUGGGGGCUCAUGACUGCAAUCCAAGCACUUUGGGAGGCCGAGGUGGGUGGAUCAUCUGAAGUCAGGAGUUCAAGACCAGCCUGGCCAACAUGGUGAAACCCCAUCGCUACUAAAA